rnacentral:lncRNA from 1 species
CUCCAAACAACCCAAUUUGCUAAUCUCCGAUAUCGCUUUAUACUCACGAUCUUGUAUCCACUGAUUGUCUUGUUAGAUUAACCCAAAAAUUUUCAUUUACUCCGCAUACUCAAUCCUAUAGACACCCUUUUAAUUCUUCAAUCUCAGACGUAACUUUGAUUUUACAAAAUAGUCAAGAGUAAUCACACCCACUUCAUUAAAAUCCCAAUUCACCAAUAUAACACAUCGACUAUUCAGCAAUGA